rnacentral:rRNA from 1 species
CCAGACAGCCAGGAUGUUGGCUUAGAAGCAGCCAUCAUUUAAAGAAAGCGUAAUAGCUCACUGGUCGAGUCGGCCUGCGCGGAAGAUGUAACGGGGCUAAACCAUGCACCGAAGCUGCGGCAGCGACGCUGAUGCGUUGUUGGGUAGGGGAGCGUUCUGUAAGCCUGUGAAGGUGUGCUGUGAGGCAUGCUGGAGGUAUCAGAAGUGCGAAUGCUGACAUAAGUAACGAUAAAGCGGGUGAAAAGCCCGCUCGCCGGAAGACCAAGGGUUCCUGUCCAACGUUAAUCGGGGCAGG